AUUGAACGCUGGCGGCAUGCCUUACACAUGCAAGUCGAACGGUAACAGGUCUUCGGAUGCUGACGAGUGGCGAACGGGUGAGUAAUACAUCGGAACGUGCCCGAGAGUGGGGGAUAACGAAGCGAAAGCUUUGCUAAUACCGCAUACGAUCUCAGGAUGAAAGCAGGGGACCGCAAGGCCUUGCGCUCACGGAGCGGCCGAUUGCAGAUUAGGUAGUUGGUGGGGUAAAGGCUUACCAAGCCUACGAUCUGUAGCUGGUCUGAGAGGACGACCAGCCACACUGGGACUGAGACACGGCCCAGACUCCUACGGGAGGCAGCAGUGGGGAAUUUUGGACAAUGGGCGAAAGCCUGAUCCAGCCAUGCCGCGUGCAGGAUGAAGGCCUUCGGGUUGUAAACUGCUUUUGUACGGAACGAAAAGCUCUGGGUUAAUACCCUGGGGUCAUGACGGUACCGUAAGAAUAAGCACCGGCUAACUACGUGCCAGCAGCCGCCGUAAGAC
rnacentral:rRNA from 1 species